UACGUAGGGAGCAAGCGUUGUCCGGAAUCAUUGGGCGUAAAGCGCGCGUAGGUGGCCACAUAAGUCCGUUGUGAAAGUCAAAGGCUCAACCUUUGAAAGCCGAUGGAUACUGUGUGGCUUGAGUACGGAAGAGGCGAGUGGAAUUCCUGGUGUAGCGGUGGAAUGCGCAGAUAUCAGGAGGAACACCAAUAGCGAAGGCAGCUCGCUGGGACGUUACUGACACUGAGGCGCGAAAGCGUGGGGAGCGAACAGG
rnacentral:rRNA from 1 species